ensembl:lncRNA
GGCACACAGCCCUCCCCAGCAUGGGAUCAGCCGACUCUUGCCUCUCCCCGCCGGAAGAGGGCAGUGGGGUGUCUGUUCCCCAGCGCAGGCCAGCUGCUGGCUUUGCUUCUCACUUAGAGCCACGCUGGUCAUCUGCGACCCAGGGGCUUAGCCCACAGGCAGCUGGGGCGCGUGGGCCGGCAGCAGGCAGCAGGACACUUGAAAAUUGUCUCUGGCCAGGGCUAGCUGUCUCCCCAGAGGACACACAGAGGAUAUCUUCCCUCCUGCCUUUGGACGAUUUAGACAUGGCUGGAGAGACCAGGCCGGGCCCCACCCAGCCAGGCCAGAAGAGGCAGCCGGGCACAGCCAUUUCCUGCUUUUGUCUGUAAACUGAAGGAGAUGACCAAGGAGAUGACCAAGGAGAUGACCAAGGCUGCUCAUCGCUGAUGUUCCCAGCACCACCCUGCUGACAGAGGCAGGAUGCCCCCUCCUCCCACCUGGAGCCACAGGGCUUGGGUCCUCCCAGGGGAUCCCCACCUGCAUAAUGCUUGGGGGCUUUGUCCAGUCACCUUCGGAUUUCCUAUCCUCCGCCUCCUACCUUCCCUGGACCUGCUCCCGCCAGCCUUCUGAAGGGUGCAGCAGUAACUAUGACCUGGACUACAAGCUGUACAGGGAAGAUGUCCCCUACAGGGUGUAUGAAUACCAAGGAAUCCCUCCACUCCUCAACCGCAUGCCUGUCAAGAUCCGGAGGACCCACGUGGGCAUGGGGGUUAAGAGCAGCUUCAGUCCCCACAAGGGCCCCAGGAAGAGCCACCUGCCCCGAGAGCAAAUAAAGCUCCAGACCAAGGAGCUGCACUCUAUCAGGAGGGAGCUAAACCAGAUCAAAGCCCAGGUGGACCGUCUAUUGGAGAAUCUGGAGCGCAUGGACCAGCAGAGGGACCAGUUUCCAGGGUCAGACGCCAGUGAAGAAAACAGGGCCGCAGUGAGUAAGAGUUACUCAUGCAGAAUCACUGAAGCCAAGCAGGAGCCCAGGGGCCAGAGGGCCCAUCCAGAAGCAGACAGCCCAGAGGACAGCACACACCCAGAGGAGGCAGUGAAGAAUCAUGCAUCGGACCAGGAGGGCAGUCAGUAGAAGACUGGAAUUCCUCCCGGCUUCUUCCCAGACGGCUCCCUUCCUUGCCUCAUGGGGUUUUUGGAAGGCCUCCUGGUGGCACCUGUGCGACCAAAAGCACACAUUCUGGAAUGAGUACAAUGAAGCGGAGGUGUGGCUCACCACACCAGCUGGGAAGCCCCUCCGUAAUGGUUGCUUUUGCUUUUGGAGGCCAUGUUUCCAGAUAGUCCGGGGAGCUAAGAGGGAGGUCUAGCACAUGCUCACUAUCCUCAUGAGGGAGGCCGUCUGGCAAGGGGCGGAAGAACAGCGCCCCGCCCCCACCUUGGGAGCACAUCUGCCCCCUCUGACUGCAGGCAUUGCUUUGGCUGCUCUUCUCCCUGCCCCAGGCCCUGCCAGUUCUGUGUGGAGUGUCCCGCCCCCGCCGCCAGCCCAGCUUUCUCAGCUCCAGUGAUGCACAGGAAAUAAACUCAUGUUCUACGGACCCCUUCUGGUCUGAAACUGACCUUUAAGCUCCUUGGUGUGUGUCCCACAUGACCUCCUUUGGUUCCAGACUCCCCACCCAUCCACCCUCAUUCAGAAUAGAGUAUCAUUUUUAUGUCCUGUUUCUAUCUUGUCUCUCACUGGUGUGAUACUAUGUACUUCAGACCUGCUCUGGAAAUACUGUAAUGUCAAAGGAGAAAAAUAAAUUUGUAUUUCUUUUCCCUGGUC